UUAAAAUGGCUCUAAGGCAGAAGUUCUCAAACUUCAUUGCAUCGUGACCCCCUACUAACACCACAAAUUGCUACAUGACCCCAUGAGGGGGGACC